AAGUAAAUUCCGUCAUUUUAUAGUUAAAUGGUAGGUUUUAAUGAUGGAUUAUAAUGAUAUGUAGUUGACUUAUAUUCAAUGAAUAUUUGAGUAUAUAAUUUAUAAUACACCAGCAUCCGGUGACUAUAUGACAGUUACAAAUAAAUAUUAUGUUUAACAUAAAUAUGUCCGUUUAUUUUAAGCGUGAAAUAGACAUUACGCGUUAUUGGCUAUUACUCAAAAAAUUGAUUUUGUCUAAUUCUCACUGUGACAAACCGACAUUCUUCGUAUAAAUCUACAACUAUUAUAAUAUAUUACGUGAAAUGUAUCGUUA